AUGCCUGAAGUACUGAAGGAUACUGAGAAGUGCAUCGAACUAGAUACCACAUUCUACAAGGGAUACACAAGGAAGGAUGCAACCCUGUUUGUUUCUAAAGAAUGCGACAAAGCAAUGGAACGAGCGUGCCUGAGUGCAAACAAACAAACCACUAUUAUUGGAGCCUGGACAAUGAUAUCGAAGGAAUUUUUGCUCUGA
rnacentral:rRNA from 1 species